ACGGCGCUGUCGAUAGUGUGCCUGACGCAGAUCUGGCAGCUAUGGAAGUUCAUCCGCUUCCAGCUGCGGCGACGAAGGCAGGAGCAGGCGGCACGCAAGCGGCCCGCAGGCCAGCAGCCGCCUCGGGUGGCCAGGAAGGACGCCGGUGGGCAGUACAAUAAUGGUGCGGUCAAGGCAGAGAACGGAGCCUCUCCACGACCCAAGAAGAUCAAGGUCCUCUAACCGAGCACCUGGGCUCCACCACUGCCUACAGAACCGCCAACAGAACAGGAAAAUGGCUAAUGGUCAUCGUGCUCUUGCCCGGAGGGCUUGAGUGUGGUUGCUGAGACCCUGGGGACAGAGGUGUCCCGUUCAGGAACAGCACGUGGGAAUUCCUGAGCCCUGAAGGACAUUCUCACUCAUGUUGGUACUCCUUAAUUGCUGGCUGUCCUCUCAGCUUCCAGUCCAGUCUUGUUUACACCCUGAUCGUCCCUCUAGAAAAUACACUAUUUUUUGACAUGUCGUCUCUAAUUAGCACCAAACACUUUCACCUCAUUUUGCCUUGUCUCUAUCUUAGCCUAAAACUGGAAAAUCAGCCUUGGUUUUGGGUCAUAGGAUAAAGUUUUGGUCCCCAGCUUCUCUCUGGGGGGUGGGGGUGGCAGUUUGAGUAGCUGGGUGUGGAGGCCUCAGUCCUGCCAUCAAUCAGGGCAAAGAACCAUCUGAGGUCAUUUUAGGGUCACCUGGGUCAUUCCAGUCUCCUGCUGAGAGUCUCCAUCCGUCUCUGCAGCACUAGUCUGCUCUGUGUCUCUGACCCUAUAUUACUUUCAUCUGCAGGAAAGCUCAAUGUGAAGAUAACAUCACAUGCUUUUUGCUCUCUAAAGGGUGAUAAGUUUAAGGAUUGCACGUGCAUGAGGCCUGUCACCCAGAGUACAGACUGCUCUUUCUUUGAGUUUCACUGAAUGCAGACUGAACAGUUCCAGCAAACCCCGACAUUAGACUGUAGCCGUAUUUAACUGCUUGUAUGGAAGGACAAUUGCGAUUUUGAUGAGGUCAUAAUGGCUUUACUGUGGAAUAAAAGGGCACAAAAGCAAA